rnacentral:rRNA from 1 species
UACGGGGGGGGCAAGCGUUGUUCGGAAUUACUGGGCGUAAAGGGCUCGUAGGUGGCCAACUAAGUCAGACGUGAAAUCCCUCGGCUUAACCGAGGAACUGCGUCUGAUACUGGAUGGCUUGAGUUUGGGAGAGGGAUGCGGAAUUCCAGGUGUAGCGGUGAAAUGCGUAGAUAUCUGGAGGAACACCGGUGGCGAAGGCGGCAUCCUGGACCAAUACUGACGCUGAACAGCGAAAGCCAGGGGAGCAAACGGG